AGGAAAGAGAAGUUCUCUCUCUUUGCUGGAGCUUGGAUAUCCUUUUUUUUCCUCCCUCAGGUUCUCAAGCCUGCAGUCUGGGCUGAGAGUCACAGCAUCAGCUUCUGGGACUGAGCCAUGCUACCCAAUCCUCUCCUUCUCUCCGGUCUCCAGGCGGCGCUUCGUCGGACUUCUCACCUCCAUUGGCUCAGGAGCCAGCCCCUCAGUGAAUCUCCAGUCACGUACAUACCACGUGUUCUAGAGAACUCCGAUGAGUACAGAAACUUGCACAUUUACAAGAAAGUUGUACAAGGGUGGAAUAUAUUGUAUCUCUGAGACUGGCAACCCCGAGGGGCCUCCAGCUGUGUCUACUCGAAGGAAGGUAUGGUCACAGUAAAGACACAGAAGUUUGGAAAGGGGAAGCUGAAAG
rnacentral:lncRNA from 1 species